rnacentral:rRNA from 1 species
AGAGUUUGAUCAUGGCUCAGAGCGAACGCUGGCGGCAGGCCUAAUACAUGCAAGUCGAGCGGGUCCUUCGGGGAUUAGCGGCGGACGGGUGAGUAACGCGUGGGAACGUGCCCUUUGGUACGGAACAACUGAGGGAAACUUCAGCUAAUACCGUAUGUGCCCUUCGGGGGAAAGAUUUAUCGCCAUUGGAGCGGCCCGCGUUGGAUUAGGUGGUUGGUGAGGUAAAGGCUCACCAAGCCUACGAUCCAUAGCUGGUCUGAGAGGAUGACCAGCCACACUGGGACUGAGACACGGCCCAGACUCCUACGGGAGGCAGCAGUAGGGAAUCUUGCGCAAUGGGCGAAAGCCUGACGCAGCCAUGCCGCGUAAAUGAUGAAGGUCUUAGGAUUGUAAAAUUCUUUCACCGGGGACGAUAAUGACGGUACCCGGAGAAGAAGCCCCGGCUAACUUCGUG